rnacentral:rRNA from 1 species
AGGUGGCCGCAGAGAAUAGGCCCAAGCGACUGUUUACCAAAAACAUAGGUUUCUGCUAAGUCGCAAGACGAUGUAUAGGAGCUGACGCCUGCCCGGUGCUGGAAGGUUAAGGGGAUCUGUUAGAGCAAUCGAAGCAGUGAACUUAAGCCCCAGUAAACGGCGGCCGUAACUAUACCGGUCCUAAGGUAGCGAAAUUCCUUGUCGGGUAAGUUCCGACCCGCACGAAAGGCGUAACGAUUUGGGCACUGUCUCAACAACAGACUCGGUGAAAUUGUAAUUCCGGUGAAGAUGCCGGAUACCUG